AGCAUAUCAAUAAGCGGAGGAAAAGAAACCAACAGGGAUUGCCCUAGUAACGGCGAGUGAAGCGGCAACAGCUCAAAUUUGAAAUCUGGCUCUUUCAGAGUCCGAGUUGUAAUUUGCAGAGGGCGCUUUGGCUUUGGCAGCGGUCCAAGUUCCUUGGAACAGGACGUCACAGAGGGUGAGAAUCCCGUACGUGGUCGCUAGCUAUUGCCGUGUAAAGCCCCUUCGACGAGUCGAGUUGUUUGGGAAUGCAGCUCUAAAUGGGAGGUAAAUUUCUUCUAAAGCUAAAUAUUGGCCAGAGACCGAUAGCGCACAAGUAGAGUGAUCGAAAGAUGAAAAGCACUUUGGAAAGAGAGUCAAACAGCACGUGAAAUUGUUGAAAGGGAAGCGCUUGCAGCCAGACUUGCUUGCAGUUGCUCAUCCGGGCUUUUGCCCGGUGCACUCUUCUGCAGGCAGGCCAGCAUCAGUUUGGGCGGUGGGAUAAAGGUCUCUGACACGUUCCUUCCUUCGGGUUGGCCAUAUAGGGGAGACGUCAUACCACCAGCCUGGACUGAGGUCCGCGCAUCUGCUAGGAUGCUGGCGUAAUGGCUGUAAGCGGCCCGUCUUGAAACACGGACCAAGGAGUCUAACAUCUAUGCGAGUGUUUGGGUGUCAAGCCCGAGCGCGUAAUGAAAGUGAACGGAGGUGGGAACCCGCAAGGGUGCACCAUCGACCGAUCCUGAAGUUUACGGAAGGAUUUGAGUAAGAGCAUGGCUGUUGGGACCCGAAAGAUGGUGAACUAUGCUUGAAUAGGGUGAAGCCAGAGGAAACUCUGGUGGAGGCUCGCAGCGGUUCUGACGUGCAAAUCGAUCGUCAAAUUUGGGCAUAGGGGCGAAAGACUAAUCGAACUAUCUAGUAGCUGGUUCCUGCCGAGUUUCC
rnacentral:rRNA from 1 species